ensembl:lncRNA
UGAAAACAUGCUAUUCUUAUAUAUGUGGAUGGAUAAAUCUUUUCAACACAAGGAACAUACUGUACACUCUAAACCACAUGGAGUGACUCCAGCCGCCCUCACUCACUUUUACUUUAAUCAUAUUCAACCUCUGAGAGAGGGUCAGAUGUAAUUAUAGCACACAGUGGGCAUGUUUAAAGAGGUAUCCCUCUCUGGUGACUGGAGAUUGUCUGGAUACAGUGCUGUAGGAGAAGAAAUUUAGCUCUACCUGAACCCUCCUAAUGGUGUCUUUAAGUCUUAAAGCUCGACUUCAAACAAACAACUUCAAAAGCAGGGUUAACGCCUCCCACUUAAAGCCUCGGGACACAUGCCUUCUUCAGAGUUUCAGAAGAGAUCUUAACAAUGUCUUCGAUUUGUCAAGAUGCCAAAAUCUGCAAUUUAAUGGAUGUAAUGGAUCUUCCCAAUGUCUAGCCUGAGCCUUUGACCUUUGGCCUGAUCUUUGGCCACUUACAAAGCAGUCUCUGAACAAUACAUUUUUUCCAUCUACAGAACUUCAAUGAUUGCUUCAAUUUCAUCCAAAUUUUGUGCAUUUACAAAACAGAGAGCAUAGUUGGUAGGCAUCUUAAGGCAGUCAUGACAAAUGGUCAAGAACACAUUCAACUUUCAGUUUCUGAACUGCUUGCUCUUGCCUUUGCAGCUGUUAGUUCUGUAAGUUGAAAGUUCUCUCAUUCCUCUGCACAGAUUCUUGCACUUGGCAAGUACAGACCUUUU